rnacentral:rRNA from 1 species
UCCGUAGGCGGGCAAUUAAGUCAGAGGUGAAAUCCCACAGCUUAACUGUGGAACUGCCUUAGAUACUGGUUAUCUUGAGUCUUAGUGAAGUAGAUAGAAUGUGUAGUGUAGCGGUGAAAUGCAUAGAUAUUACACAGAAUACCGAUUGCGAAGGCAGUCUACUAACUAACAACUGACGCUAAUGGACGAAAGCGUGGGGAGCGAACAGGAUUAGAUACCCUGGUAGUCC